GGUGGGAGAAUUGAAUGACAUUGAAAAUCCUGGAAAUGAGGAGAAGCAAACUAAAACAGCAAGCACCAAGCACAUGAAGGGAGAGACGAGUUCUUUAGGGAGAUCGAAUGUGGCACUUUGCCAUGUCUGUGUUCCUGAUAGAAUUAUAUGGACAUAAUCUUCUUCUAACAGCAGUGUUUGGCUUAG
rnacentral:lncRNA from 1 species